CGCACAUUGCGCCCUCUGGUAUUCCGGAGGGCAUGCCUGUUUGAGUGUCAUUAACCUCUCCUAUCCACCUUCCAUCUCUAAUGAUUGGAUGGUGUCAUACGGAUGUUGGACGAUGCAGCAAGUCUCUAGACUCGCAGCUUGUCUUAAUUAGAUUGGUGCGGCCCAUGCUUGGCCUUUACAGUGUUCUAGGCUCGUCCAACUCGCUGUCAAGUCUGUCCAGGCUAGAACUGAGAAGUUCUACAGGACUUUUUGCACCUUAAGCUUUAUCUCAUUGCCUUCCUACCACGGAAGACUUUGGGUAAUCUACAAUAAUUGACCUCAAAUCAGGUAGGACUACGCGCUGAACUUAA
rnacentral:misc_RNA from 1 species